ACGCACGCUGGCGGCGUGCUUCACACAUGCAAGUCGCACGGAAAGGCCCUGCUUUUGUGGGGUGCUCGAGUGGCGAACGGGUGAGUAACACGUGAGUAACCUGCCCUUGACUUUGGGAUAACUUCAGGAAACUGGGGCUAAUACCGGAUAGGAGCUCCUGCUGCAUGGUGGGGGUUGGAAAGUUUCGGCGGUUGGGGAUGGACUCGCGGCUUAUCAGCUUGUUGGUGGGGUAGUGGCUUACCAAGGCUUUGACGGGUAGCCGGCCUGAGAGGGUGACCGGCCACAUUGGGACUGAGAUACGGCCCAGACUCCUACGGGAGGCAGCAGUGGGGAAUAUUGCACAAUGGGCGGAAGCCUGAUGCAGCAACGCCGCGUGCGGGAUGACGGCCUUCGGGUUGUAAACCGCUUUCGCCUGUGACGAAGCGUGAGUGACGGUAAUGGGUAAAGAAGCACCGGCUAACUACGUG
rnacentral:rRNA from 1 species